rnacentral:rRNA from 1 species
UUAUUUUACUCCUCUUCACCAGCGUAUUCCAUAUCAUAUGAGAAUGCCCCGAACACAAAUAUAUAUAUCUAUAUAUUUUAAUUGGGGGAGCCCCCAAAAUAUUGGGCUAAUAAAAAAAGACAACUCUGUUCCGCAGAGUAGCUGUUGACAUUAUAGUUGCGCAGGAAGUUUGUUGACUCUAGAGAACCUCGGGCAAAUCACACAUCUCCGUGGUGGCGACUUUGCAUGCGGAUGUCAUCCAUAUCAACUUUCGAUGCCAGUUUCUGCGCCUACCAUGGUGACCAUGGAUAACGGGUAAUUGGGGUUCUAUUCCAUACAGGGACCCUGAGAAAUAGCUACCACAUGCAAGGAAGGCAGCAGGCGUGCAAAUGACCCACUCCCGACGCGGGAAGGUAGUGACAACAAAUAACAAUACAGGACUCUUUAGAGGCCCUGUUAUUGUAAUGAGUCUACUUGAAAUCCUUUAACUCUGAUCAAUUAGAGGGAAGUCUGGUGCAGAGCCACUGACCCGUGCGUGCUGCAGCUGAAA